rnacentral:rRNA from 1 species
GAACGGGUGAGUAAUAUAUCGGAACGUGCCCUAGAGUGGGGGAUAACUAGUCGAAAGAUUAGCUAAUACCGCAUACGAUCUACGGAUGAAAGUGGGGGAUUCGCAAGAACCUCAUGCUCCUGGAGCGGCCGAUAUCUGAUUAGCUAGUUGGUAGGGUAAAAGCCUACCAAGGCUACGAUCAGUAGCUGGUCUGAGAGGACGACCAGCCACACUGGAACUGAGACACGGUCCAGACUCCUACGGGAGGCAGCAGUGGGGAAUUUUGGACAAUGGGCGCAAGCCUGAUCCAGCAAUGCCGCGUGAGUGAAGAAGGCCUUCGGGUUGUAAAGCUCUUUUGUCAGGGAAGAAACGGUUUGGUCUAAUACACUGAGCUAAUGACGGUACCUGAAGAAUAAGCACCGGCUAACUACGUGCCAGCAGCCGCGGUAAUACGUAGGGUGCAAGCGUUAAUCGGAAUUACUGGGCGUAAAGCGUGCGCAGGCGGUUGUGCAAGACAGAUGUGAAAUCCCCGGGCUCAACCUGGGA